UGAGGGGGAAGUUGCAAAGAAAGAGAGAGUUCAAGAGUACGUGAAACUGCUCGGAAGACAACGGGUGGAUCCUCGAAGUCCGAGCGGAGCAUUGGCCUGCACCUUUUCGCACCCAGGUGCAUGGCGUUCGGGUGACGCGGUUUCCUCGGCGGCCGUGGAUGUACUCUCGAUGGAUGCCGCAGUUGGACCUGCGAUGGCAGAAGGUACUUGUCGGGAGAAGGCGCAAGUUGGGGUCCAGCACCUCGGCUGCGAUUCUGUACCGGCCGCGCUACCGGUCCGAAGAAAUGAACCCGCUUUGGCGGGUGCGCCGCGGUCUCGCACGAUAAAGCAAAGCGGGGGAGCGGUCCGGUCCUGUCAGCCUGGUCGUCCACGGGAGGUCGUGGGCGAACAACGAGGGUGUUGCAAUAGAAAGCGACCCACCCGCGAGGCGUGCCGACGGUUUGCGGCGAGUAGGUCGGUAACCCACCCAACCCGUCUUAAAACACGGACCAAGGUGUCCGACUCGUGCGCGAGUCAGUGGGGCUCGAUUAAGCCUACAGGCGCGAUAAAAUUGAAAAAGACGUCGCGAUCCCACAGCUCAGGCUCGGGUGCAGCGACGAACCGGCAGAGAGGCGGCAUGCCGCCACUGUCGGAGUAGGAGCGCACGGGUUUUGCCCCGAAAGAUGGUAAACUAUACCCGGGCAGGUCGAAGCCAGAGGAAACUGUGGUGGAGGACCGCAGCGGUUCUGACGAUCGUCUAACCUAGGA
rnacentral:rRNA from 1 species